rnacentral:rRNA from 1 species
GACGUAGGGCGCGAGCGUUGUCCGGAUUUAUUGGGCGUAAAGAGCUCGUAGGCGGCUUGUCGCGUCGACUGUGAAAACCCGUGGCUCAACCAUGUGGUCUGCAGUCGAUACGGGCAGGCUAGAAUUCGGUAGGGGAGACUGGAAUUCCUGGUGUAGCGGUGAAAUGCGCAGAUAUCGGGAAGAACACCCGUGGCGAAGGCGGUUCUCUGGGACGGUACUGACGCUGAGACGCGAAAGCGUGGGGAGCAAACGGG